rnacentral:rRNA from 1 species
UACGAAGGGGGCUAGCGUUGUUCGGAAUUAUUGGGCGUAAAGAGCUCGUAGGCGGCCUGUCGCGUCGGAUGUGAAAGCCCGGGGCUUAACCCCGGGUCUGCAUUCGAUACGGGCAGGCUGGAGUGUGGUAGGGGAGAUCGAAUUCCUGGUGUAGCGGUGAAAAUGCGCAGAUAUCAGGAGGAACACCGGUGGCGAAGGCGGAUCUCUGGGCCAUUACUGACGCUGAGGAGCGAAAGCGUGGGGAGCGAACAGG